rnacentral:rRNA from 1 species
CCCUUAGAUGUUCUGGGCUGCACACGCGCUACACUGGAGGGAUCAGCGUGUUCUUUUCCUGGUCCGAAAGGAUCGGGUAACCCGCUGAACCCCCUUCGUGGUAGGGAUCGGAGCUUGCAAUUAUUCUCCGUGAACCAGGAAUUCCCAGUAAGCGCAAGUCAUAAGCUUGCGUUGAUUACGUCCCUGCCCUUUGUACACACCGCCCGUCGCUACUACCGAUUGGACGUUUUAGUGAGGAUUUUGGACUGAGCCAAUGGUGGUUCACACCACUGUUGUGCAUGGAAAGAUCUCCAAACUUGAGCGUUUAGAGGAAGUAAAAGUCGUAACA